rnacentral:lncRNA from 1 species
CCACCCUGUCAUUCAGAAGACGGAGGACGCAGCACUCACAGAUAUAGUAGUAUUCUUGGCCGGCAUGGAAUUCAUAGCCCAGCGAGAAGGCGCUGUAGCGCUGGAACUUCUCGGAGAACUUGAUGGGGCUGUGCGAGGCGUGCUGCCGGUUGCAUUCCCAGCGCUUGGAGCCUUGGCUGGCGUUGCAGGUGCGGUAGCCGCUCAGGUUCACCAUGUAUAGUACGUACUGCUCCGCCCCGCCGCCAGGCCCUGAGCUGUUGUAGUGAGGACAGUAAAUAUCCAGAUAGUCGUUCACGUUCACUUGCACCGUGUAGCCCUCGCGCCGCAGGCUGUGGACAAAUGAAGUGGGUCAGAGAAGAAAUUUCAA